CACGUAGGGCGCAAGCGUUGUCCGGAAUUAUUGGGCGUAAAGAGCUCGUAGGCGGUUCCGUAAGUCGGAUGUGAAAACUCGGGGCUCAACCCCGAGACGCCAUCCGAUACUGCGGUGACUUGAGUCUGGUAGGGGAACACGGAAUUCCUGGUGUAGCGGUGAAAUGCGCAGAUAUCAGGAGGAACACCGAUGGCGAAGGCAGUGUUCUGGGCCAGUACUGACGCUGAGGAGCGAAAGCGUGGGGAGCAAACAGG
rnacentral:rRNA from 1 species